rnacentral:rRNA from 1 species
UACGAAGGGGGCUAGCGUUGCUCGGAAUCACUGGGCGUAAAGGGUGCGUAGGCGGGUCUUUAAGUCAGGGGUGAAAUCCUGGAGCUCAACUCCAGAACUGCCUUUGAUACUGGAAAGCUUGAGUUCGGGAGAGGUGAGUGGAACUGCGAGUGUAGAGGUGAAAUUCGUAGAUAUUCGCAAGAACACCAGUGGCGAAGGCGGCUCACUGGCCCGAUACUGACGCUGAGGUGCGAAAGCGUGGGGAGCAAACAGG